AUUAGUGACGGAGGGAGCAUAAUAGAUAAACUCGUUGUCGUCGUCCCGUGCGGUGCGGCCCCCGCUACCCGCCGCGCGAUGCCCCCUCUUCUCCGCCCGCCUGAUCUAGGGUUUUACUGGAGCCGCCGCGCGCAGCGACCAGCCGACCACGGACGAGGACGAGGGGAUCAGAUAUGCAAUUGGGGGCAGCAAGCUAGAGGUGGCAACUGCAUAAUUUGCAAGAAAUUUUCUUUCUAGAUGGAACCCACUUAGCGUGAUUAUUGCUAUAAAGAAGCCACCACAUGAAGCGACAUCGUCAAGUUUUCACACAGAUGGUCCCUAAAUGUGUUGGCUGAAGAUCAUACCGAUGAUAUUCUUGCAAGUUAUGCAGUUGCUGCCUCAAGCUUGCUGCCUCCUGUUGCCAAAGCUAGUAAAAUGAAAACAUUAAAUUAGUAUAGCUGGACGGUUUUUCUUGCAGCCUUAUGUUCUUCUCUUCAGCUCAUGAAUUUCUAUUUAUCAUAGGUAGAAAGUGGCAACAACAUUAGUAUGAGCUUUCCAGUCAAAAAAAAAAAACACAUUAGUAUGAGCUAGCAACACUUUUGAGUUUACAUGUUCUGAAAAUGCAUAAGGAUUUCAGAUUAGUGAAAUUAAGUAUUCUCUAGUCAAAUAUAUUGGACGUUGGGAGGACAAAACUUAGCUCUCCCAACAUCAAUUAUAUUUGACUGGAGGGAGUAUUUGGGUUUUUAUUUUUUAAAUUUCUGGUGGUACAUGUUUGAAUCGUCAAACCGGUAGUGGUUCCUUUGACAUCAUUUGUCAUCCUUCUUUAAUUAACUAGAAUAUUCAUCUUAUGAACUACUCUGAUAAUAUUCUUCUUAAUUACAUCAAUUUUUUUUCUUUUCCAUCUUUUGUGAUGAGAACCAGGGUUUACGAUUCCGACGAAAUCCGGUUGGAUUUCGCGAAAUUUCGAUAUUCCGACGAGGUUCGAAAGUAGAAACCGUCUGAGAUUUCGAGAAGUUUCAUCCAAAUUCAAAUUUGAAUUGAUAAAAAAAAGAGAAAAACAAAUAAAAUCUUAUAAAUACUAUGAUAUUCAUAGAACCUAUUGGGAUAUAAAUAUUCAAAAAAAAAUGUAUUGUGUGUAUUUACUGAAACUUAUAUCAGGAAAGAAAAAAAAUAAAGAAUUAAAAAAAAGAAAAACACUUACAUGGGUCGGAUUGCAUGUACUAGGCCUAGUUAGUAGUUGGUCCAAAUUACAGAUUACAGAUCGAAAUUUUGAUGAUUUCGAUCGGAAUUUUGCCAAAACGACUGGUUUUCAAGAACUUGUCAACAAACUUAGGGAAUUUGUAUUCAAAUUUUGGUUUAUGAAAUUUGUUCGGAAUAUACCGGUUUUCCACCGGAUUUCGCGAAAUUCUGAAUUCCGCCAGUGCCCGAAAUGGAAGGGCUUGUCGGAAUCGUAAAUCGUAAACCCUGAUGAGAACUAUUCUUUUCAAGCUUUCUUGUUGGGUGCUUGUAUUCACUUGCUAUUUUCAGCUAUUUCACAAAAGCAUACAAAAAUACUCCCACUUCUCUAUGGAAUGAAUUAAGAUGAUAGAACACGGAAAUCUUUGCACAGUAAAUUAAAUAAAACAUUGAGUGGGGGUUGAAGUAGCAGAAAACCCCCCGUGUUAUGGCUUGUGAAUUGUUGGCCUUGUGGCCAUAAUCUUCGAUUUUAUGGUUAAAGUUUUGACAAAACCCUAAUCCAUCCAAACCCUAAGUCUCAUGGGGGCCAAGGUACCACUUUAUGAUAAAUAUUUUGCAGUGAUCCAAACCAUCCUUUUGUUUUCCUUUGUUUUUUUUAAUUGUACAUUGUUUCUUAAUAAUAGUAUAGAAUCAAGUUUAAAAUGUCCAAUAGUAACUUGUAAUUGGCAGGGUUUACGAUUACGACAGACCCUUUCGUUUCGGGCACUGGCGGAAUUCAGAAUUUCGCGAAAUCAGGUGGAAAACCGGUAAAUUCCGAACAAAUUUCAUAAACCAAAAUUUGAAUACAAAUUCCCUGAGUUUGUUGACAAGUUCUCGAAAACCGGUCGGUUUUGGCAAAAUUCCGAUCGAAAUCAUCGAAAUUUCGAUCUGUAAUCUGUAAUUUGGACCAACUACUAACUGGGCCUAGUACAUGCAAUCUGGCCCAUGUAAGUGUUUUCCUUUUUUUAAUUCUUUAUUCUUUUCUUUCCUGAUGUAAGUUUAAGUAAAUACACACAAUACAUCAUUUUUUUUUGAAUAUUUAUAUCCCAAUAGGUUCUAUGAAUAUCAUAGUAUUUAUAGGAUUUUAUUUGUUUUUUUCUUUUUUUAUCAAUUCAAAUUUGAAUUUGGAUCAAAGUCCUCGAAAUCUUAGACGGUUUCUACUUUCGAGCCUCGUCGGAAUGUCGAAAUUUUGUGAAAUCCGAUUUUAUUUCGUUGGAAUCGUAAACCCUGGUGAUAGUAACAAUCUUAGGUUGAGAUCAACAUAUCCAAUCCAACAAUUGUAACCUACUUGGUACAUAUGCUCCAUAACAGUAACUGCAAUGAGUUAAGAAAAAAAGGUCACUGGAACGUGUUGGUUCUCUACCCUACCAAUUCAAUGGUAGUGCCAAAAUCUAGGUAAAUUUUGACACUACCAAUUAUUUGGUAGGGUAGAAUUCAUAUAAUGUGUUUGGUUUGGUACCAUUUGCUACCAAUAUGCUUGUUAUAGUGAAGAAAGUUCUAGAAUGCUACCAAAUUAGCUAUGGGUAUUGCCAAUACUUUGGCUCUAAUCCAAACCAAUCAAACUACUAUUUGAACUGCCAAACAAUUGGUAGGGCACAUUUUGGCAUCGAUCCAAAAUGGCCCAUUUUGGAUUGAAGCCAAAACAUGACCUUACCAAUCUAUUGGUAUCUUGAAGAUAUUGUAUGGUUGGAUUAAAGCCAAAUCAUUGGUAAUGCCCAUUAACAAUUUGGCACUAAUCUAGAACUUUCUUCUCUAUAUCAUCAAUAUUUGGCUUUAUAUUGGUAGCAAUUCAAAUAUGUACCAUGCAUCUCUACCCUACCAAAGAAUUGGUAGUGCCAAAACAUGCCAAAAAUUUGGCACUAGCAAAGAUUUGGUAGGGUAAAGAACCAAACAGCUUUUGUUUCAGUCAGAAAGUUAAGUGGGGCAAAAAGAUUGCCCAAAAUAUUAUGAAAUACCUCUCGAUAUACCUUUGAUUUCACAAUAUGUUGUAUUAAUUUAUGUUUUACAGGCAUACAACAGAUCCAACUUUCAAUGACAUGUUUAUUGUUUAGUUUAGCUACAAUAAUUGUUGGGUAGUUGUAGAGCAGCACAUGGUACUUAUGCCACAAGCCCGCAAAUAAAAUAAUUCGCAUUUGCUCAUCCUAAUUCAUGCUAGCAUCUCUAUUGCAGAACAAUUUUGAUACUAUUUUUUUUUUAAAAUUAGCCUUGAAAAUGCCACUUCCCCUAAGGAAUGACAAAUGCAUUUUUUUUUACAAAUGCAAAAACUUGCAGGUAGACACAUAUUUGGCAGGUGAAUUCGUGUCAUAUGGACAUAUCUUUCAUUGGAAGAUAUGUCCAUAUGUUGGAGCUAUUUCACCAGUUCUUUCAUUGGAAUAAUGUUAGCAUUUAAUCAGUGAUAUAGGAGAUGAUUCACCUUCAACAAGCUCUCAUUUAUCAUCAUGACGAGUCAGAAGAAUCCGAUUGUCAAGUUACGCCUUCUACCAUAUACUCCCCACCAAAAACAGCUACCACUGUUUGUUGUUUUCUACGAAUCUUGAGCUAUUUGUAUGGAGAAAAAGCAGUGACAAUGGUAAAAGAUGGUUUUGAAGGCACUACAAGACAUGCCUCAAGUUAUAACCGUGCUGUUACGAGGAUCCAAGCAUCCAAAACACUUGGAAGAUUAAGCUUCAGGCGUUGUCAACAUAAUGCAUAAUUAGUUGCAUACUUCAGUGGAUGAUUGAACGGGAUGUUUGGAUAUGCAAAUAUUUCUAUGCAUCCGGACUGAAUACUUUCUGAACACAAAGCAAGCCAACCUGCCAUGGCCAUGACACGAUGGUUCUAUCCAUAUUUUCCUAUUUGUCAUGUACGGCUGGGCUGGGCCUAGCACCAAAACUAUUCGUUGUUGUUUAUUAUUAUUAGGUAAUUAGGUUAUUCGUAGAUCAUGGUUGUUUAUUUUAUUAUGAACAUUUUGAUAACAUUUUUUUUAAAAAAUUAAAGCCUUUAUUUUUCCGAUCA